rnacentral:lncRNA from 1 species
GAAGAUUCCGACAGUGACGCAAAGUUGGUGACCAGAAAGUGUGAGACUUUGUGGUGUUGGCUGAAGAAGAUUGAGAGUGGUGUUGGCUGAAGAAGAUUGAGAGAGGUAAGAGGAUGAGAAAAACGAGACCAUGGAUGGCAAAAUGAGAGCUUGUAGAGAAAGCUGUGGUGAUGUUAAGAGACGCCAUUGAUGAGGAACCAAGCUCGAGGCCAGUUUCAUCGUGUUUCUGAGUUCCGAACGAGAAAGAUAAAAACUUUAAUACAAGAAGACAGCAACAAAAACGAUCUAAUCCAAGACCCCUGGCUUGACGACUUUUCUAAUGGGCUUUGACGCCAUCGUCAUCAUUUGUGAUUUUAAACUAGAAAAGCCCUAACUUUACCUUGUGUAAAAAGUUGCAAAAGAGUCAGAUUGUUAAAUACUGAAAUUUCCGGCGUAAAUUAACAAAAUUUCUUCUUCUUCGGGUGAUUCAGUGAACAAUAUCUUUGUAUGGUUCACGAAAUCGAGAUUCGAGACUAUCCAGUUUCUUGUAGAUCUCUCAUUGUAGUGAGUCGCAACACUAGAUUCUUCUCGAGUUCGUUCCAACCG